rnacentral:snoRNA from 1 species
AAGACUGUACUUCACAGGAUCAUUUCUGUAGUGCGUCUUCACUUCUCUCUACUCAACGGUAGAGUCAAUGAAACUGCGAGGAUGAGCCGUAGUCCUCGCCCCCGAGCGUGAGGCAGCUGGGAACGG